UACGUAGGGUGCAAGCGUUAAUCGGAAUUACUGGGCGUAAAGCGUGCGCAGGCGGUUUUGUAAGUCUGGCGUGAAAGCCCCGGGCUCAACCUGGGAAUUGCGUUGGAGACUGCAAGGCUUGAAUCUGGCAGAGGGGGGUAGAAUUCCACGUGUAGCAGUGAAAUGCGUAGAGAUGUGGAGGAACACCGAUGGCGAAGGCAGCCCCCUGGGUCAAGAUUGACGCUCAUGCACGAAAGCGUGGGGAGCGAACAGG
rnacentral:rRNA from 1 species